CGAAAACCUUUUGUAUAACGGCGGUGGAAAGGCGGUUGGACCACGGGCCGGCCGCAGAACGGCGGCAGACGCUUUUAAAAAGCGUCUGCCGCCGGCGGAAAGCUGGCAAACGUGUUUGCGAUUUAGACAUUCUGACGCUUCUACUGUCUUUGGAGGACCGCCUCCGGUCCGCCGACUCAUUGCUAUCUGGGACGUUUUCUUGCAGAUACCUUGGCCAGAGCAUAACCGGUUAUCUUCACCCAAGAGACCUACUGUUGGUCAAUCGUUUUGGCUUUAAAGAACCAGGUUUCUCCCCAGUAAUCCAGACUCCACUUCACAGAGCCAAGAGUUUGAGUACAACUCGUCAAGUACUAAGCUUUACACCACCAGCAGCAAAUUUACCCUGGCAGCAUAUGGGUGAAAAGGCUGGAGGUAUGAGAAAGUCAUCGCUUUGUUAUUGGCCCUUGGACGCCCCUGGCAUCUCAUGUACAGCACAAAGUUUUCAGCUAUGAAGAUUUCCAGAGACUCCAGAAUGAAAACCAAGCUCUGAGGGAGGAGAACCAAGCCCUGAGGGAAUGCAAUGCACAAGCAGCUUCGGAUGACAGCGGCUCACUUCAAGAGCAGGUGAAGCAAGUAGGGACAAUGUUGAAGACGUUUGCUCUCACUGGGCAAUCAGGUGCGUUACCUGAAAGGAGCAUCUGACCGUGAAGGCAGAAAAAGGCGCCGCACAGCUGAGAGGGACCCACAGCCGACCCCUUAAACCUAGGCUGACUACUGGCACCCCAGCAUCACUGAACUUUCUUUAUCCUGCAGUCAGUAACAUCAAGAAGCCAGAAGUGCCAGACUACACUCACCAAAUGCACCCUGUUUUAUUUUGUAUCUUUAGUAUUGGCUUAUUUCAUUCCGUCUUAACGAUUCUAUUAUAGUUUGUAAAUCUUAUU
ensembl:lncRNA